AAGUGGGAGUUGAACAAUGAGAACACAUGGACACAGAUUUGCUGUCUGGAGAGAUAUAUGAAAUUUAAAGAUGGCAAUCCAUUCCCUUCCCAUCAUGCUUCUUUUUCUACAGUUUUCAGGCAGUAUCCUUCAGUGAAGCUCACUCCAGCACAAGAUCCCAAGGACAGUCACGUGGGCUCAUCUAUGCCAAGCUUAACAUUCCAUCUCUGAUUGCCUGAUCCAUGUCAGACUAAUCAAAUCAGAGGUAACAGAGCUGAAAGGCAGAUCUUGGAGGGACUACUUGAGGCCUAAA
rnacentral:lncRNA from 1 species